rnacentral:lncRNA from 1 species
GAGGGAAUAAGCUAUCGUGGCUAUACUAGCAGGCCGAGAAAAUAGCGCGGUCUUAUACUUUAGAUGUGCUAGUGGGAGUAGCCUCAGGUCGUGGAAGUUUCAUAUACAAAUGUAAGAAGCCGCACUCUAGUUUAGGUGAGCUAAAAGCUAAUGCCUCUCUAAGCUAAAGUGGCAACACCUCAAAACAGAGGGAUCGGUGAUAGAGGAGACAAAUGGUUUCAUAGAUCAGGGUUGAUUUUUAGACUUUGGGCAUAGUUUGAGGAGCUAACAUGAACUUUUUCCUUUUAUAAAUCCGUUUUAGCUUUUUUUUUCC